rnacentral:rRNA from 1 species
AUUGAACGCUGGCGGCAGGCCUAACACAUGCAAGUCGAACGAGUGGCGGACGGGUGAGUAAUGUCUGGGAAACUGCCCGAUGGAGGGGGAUAACUACUGGAAACGGUAGCUAAUACCGCAUACCAUCGGAUCUGCCCAGAUGGGAUUAGCUUGUAGGUGAGGUAACGUCUCACCUAGGCGACGAUCCCUAGCGGGUCUGAGAGGAUGACCAGCCACACGGGAAUUGAGACAAGGGCAAGAUGCAUACGGGAGGGCGCAUUGGGGAAUAUUGCGCAAGGGGCGCAAGCCAUAUAGAGCCAUGACGUGUGUAUGAAGAAGGCCGUAGGGUUUUAAAGUACUUUCAGCGGGGAGGCGUUACUCGAAGAAGAAGCACCGGCAAACUCCGUGCCAGCAGACGCGGUAAUUC